UUUUUACGGAGAGUUUGAUCCUGGCUCAGGAUGAACGCUGGCGGCGUGCUUAACACAUGCAAGUCGA
rnacentral:rRNA from 1 species